UAAAAUCGCAGCUAGAGAUAGACUGUAUACGCUUGGUAGCUGAUACUAUGUAUUAAGCGUAUUUAUAAGUACGCCAGUCAAGUGGGGAGAGCAAUCAUUAAUUUGGUUGCUCUUUUUUUGAUU
rnacentral:ncRNA from 1 species